rnacentral:piRNA from 1 species
UCCCAAGUUCUGUAUGGUGUUUCUUCACAGC